GAGGACACAGCUCAAGUGGUAGAGUGCGUGCUUAGUGUGCACAAGGUCCCGGGUUCAAUCCCCGGUACCUUCU
rnacentral:tRNA from 1 species